rnacentral:rRNA from 1 species
AGAAUCAACGCUGGCGGCGUGCCUAACACAUGCAAGUCGAACGAGAAAGUGGAGCAAUCCAUGAGUAAAGUGGCGACCGGGUGAGUAACACGUGACUAACCUACCUUCGAGUGGGGGAUAACCUCGGGAAACCGGGGCUAAUACCGCAUAAUAUCCACGGAUCAAAGGAGCAAUUCGCUUGAAGAGGGGGUCGCGGCUGAUUAGUUAGUUGGCGGGGUAAUGGCCCACCAAGACAAUGAUC